GUCUCGGUGGUGCAGUGGUGGUAACACGCGCCCCCGAUAUGGUUGAAACGUGGGGUUUAAGUCCCGCCUGGGAUC